GUCGAACGGAUAUCUUCGGAUAUGAGUGGCGAACGGGUGAGUAACACGUAGCGUUUCUGCCUGCAUGAGCGGGAGAACUUCUGGAAACGGAAGCUGAUACCGGAUGAGCAAAGAGGAGGCAUCUUCUUUUUGGAAAAGGGGACAAGAGUCCCGCAUGCAGAUGGACCUGCGGUGCAUUAGCUGGUUGGAGAGGUAACGGCUCACCAAGGCGACGAUGCAUAGCCGGCCUGAGAGGGCGGACGGCCACACUGGGACUGAGACACGGCCCAGACUCCUGCGGGAGGCAGCAGUAGGGAAUUUUCGUCAAUGGGGGGAACCCUGAACGAGCAAUGCCGCGUGAGCGAGGAAGGUCUUCGGAUCGUAAAGCUCUGUUGCCGGGGACAAAAGGCAGAAAGAGUGGAAAGCUUUCUGAGUGAUGGUACCCGGCGAGGAAGUCACGGCUAACUACGUGCCAGCAGCCGCGGUAAUACGUAGGUGGCGAGCGUUAUCCGGAAUGAUUGGGCGUAAAGGGUGCGCAGGCGGCCGGGCAAGUCCGCAGUAAAAACUGGAGGCUCAACCUUCAGGGGCUGCGGAAACUGUCCGGCUGGAGAGCAGGAGAGGACGGUGGAACUCCAUGUGUAGCGGUAAAAUGCGUAGAUAUAUGGAAGAACACCGGUGGCGAAGGCGGCCGUCUGGCCUGCAUCUGACGCUGAGGCACGAAAGCGUGGGGAGCAAAUAGGAUUAGAUACCCUAGUAGUCCACGCUGUAAACGAUGAGGACC
rnacentral:rRNA from 1 species